UACGAAGGGUGCAAGCGUUAAUCGGAAUUACUGGGCGUAAAGCGCACGUAGGCGGAUAUUUAAGUCAGGGGUGAAAUCCCGGGGCUCAACCCCGGAACUGCCUUUGAUACUGGGUAUCUAGAGUAUGGUAGAGGUGAGUGGAAUUCCGAGUGUAGAGGUGAAAUUCGUAGAUAUUCGGAGGAACACCAGUGGCGAAGGCGGCUCACUGGACCAUUACUGACGCUGAGGUGCGAAAGCGUGGGGAGCAAACAGG
rnacentral:rRNA from 1 species